rnacentral:rRNA from 1 species
UACAGAGGUCCCGAGCGUUGUUCGGAUUCAUUGGGCGUAAAGGGUGCGUAGGCGGCGGGGCAAGUCUGAUGUGAAAUCCCGGGGCUCAACCCCGGAACUGCAUUGGAUACUGCCUUGCUUGAGUACUGGAGAGGGAACUGGAAUUUACGGUGUAGCAGUGAAAUGCGUAGAGAUCGUAAGGAAGACCAGUGGCGAAGGCGGGUCUCUGGACAGUUCCUGACACUGAGGCACGAAGGCCAGGGGAGCAAACGGG